rnacentral:lncRNA from 1 species
UGGAAAGUAGGAAAGAGACACUAAACAGCACAGAUGCAAGGAAGGAUCCAGCCCUGGAGAUGGAGUGGAGGUCCUGUUUCCAGCCCUGCUAUCCUGUGAUUGUGUUACAGCAAAAAACCACCUGAUCAAGUAACUCCUGAUUGAACAGACAGGCUGUGACAGUCUGAUCUGAGCACACCUUCAUUUCAAAUAUAAAUAUCAGGUGUCUGCAAGUCAGCUGGAAUGAUGGCUGGGAGCACUGGGGGAGGCUGCACUCAGGGAGCUUCUCCUGCUUCCCUCUCAGGCUGCUGGUGGUUUUUUGCUUUGCACAUCUCACCCAGCCUUUGUUUCCCACCUCCCACUGCUGGUGUCAUGGUAUUUCUGAGCCCCACAGAAGGGCUGAGCCCUCCCCCUUCACCACCUGGACAGGUAAAUGAAAAUGUAACAGAGGGACCUGCAGUGACUUUGUGUCCUUUUGAGCCUGAUAUCCACCAAAGUCAGCCACCAGAAAUUUGUAUUGGUAGAUCAAGGCCCACAACCUGCUCCAUGAUAAAUCUGAACACCCUUUGGUUCAGUAGGGAUAUUCUGGAUUUACCUACAUGUAAUUUAGAGCAGAUUUUGGACCCUGCCCACGAGCAUUAUGCCUUUCCCUACAGGAAGGAAGAUUGAUUCUGACCUUACUUAAACUAAGCAGCUUUAAUCAUUUGGUACAGAAACACCAAGACUGGGCUGGGGGCUGGGGACACAGACAUGGGAAUCCUAUAAUCUUUGGUUAAGUUGUAAUGAAAUUGUCCAGGAUGAGAAGGAAACAGAUGGAUUCUGAUUAAUUUCUCACAAGUGUAGACCUCAGCAUCCGAUGUAACAUAUGUGGUGAGCAAAUGUCACUCAUGCCUCCAAAGUGCAG